AUUGAACGCUGGCGGCAGGCUUAACACAUGCAAGUCGAGCGGAGCGAGGGUGCUUGCACCUUAGCUUAGCGGCGGACGGGUGAGUAAUGCUUAGGAAUCUGCCUAUUAGUGGGGGACAACAUUCCGAAAGGAAUGCUAAUACCGCAUACGCCCUACGGGGGAAAGCAGGGGAUCUUCGGACCUUGCGCUAAUAGAUGAGCCUAAGUCGGAUUAGCUAGUUGGUGGGGUAAAGGCCUACCAAGGCGACGAUCUGUAGCGGGUCUGAGAGGAUGAUCCGCCCCACUCGGACUGAGACACGGCCCAGGCUCCUACGGGAGGCAGCAGUGGGGAAUAUUGGACAAUGGGCGGAAGCCUGAUCCAGCCAUGCCGCGUGUGUGAAGAAGGCCUUUUGGUUGUAAAGCACUUUAAGCGAGGAGGAGGCUACUUAGAUUAAUACUCUGGGAUAGUGGACGUUACUCGCAGAAUAAGCACCGGCUAACUCUGUGCCAGCCGCCGCCGUAA
rnacentral:rRNA from 1 species